GGGACUGAGAGCGGGCCUGACUCCAUCCGGAAGCACCUCUAGGGAAUCUUCCACAAUGGACCAAAAUUUGCCGGACAACGCCGCCUGAGUGAUGAAAGGUUUCCGAUCGUAAAACUCUGUUGUAAGGGAACAACCCCUAACGAGAGGUAAUGGCUCGUACCUUGACGGUACCUACUAGAAACCACGGGUUAAUUCGUGCCCUCAGCCGCGGUUAAUAGGAGGUGGCAAGCGUUGUCCGAAAUUAUGGGGCGU
rnacentral:rRNA from 1 species